UUGUAGUUGGUGUCUACAUUUUUCAGUUUUCUGUAAGCAUAUUCUCACCUUCUCUGUAUAUAUGUGGGUGGAAGGCUAGGGUAAGGUUAGAAGGAAAAGAGAUCAAAGAAGGGUAAGAAGUUAUAAGAUUUAAGGAGAAAGAUUCCUUAGGUAUAUCUUUUCAUUUAUAUGAAUAUCAGUACAGAAGUGUAUAAGGAAAUAAAAAAAGAAAAAGGAGCUGAAUCUGACUUCAGUGGCUGGACUUAUCAUCCUUUUGUUCAAGUAUCCAAGAAACUGUGUCUUAAAUUAUUGCCACGGUGUCUAUCAAAGAUACCCCAAAUUGAUGCACAUACUUAGGAUGUGAUUAAUGAGGGCACACAAGAAGGGGGCUGUGAUUGUGUUCAAAAUGCCGUUGAUGGGGGGAGACGUGCUUGGAUGCAGAUCAAAGAAGAAAUUGCAUCUUUAAGGAUGAGGGUAGCAUGAGAUGGACAUUGCUGCACGAGAAAUAUAAAAUUUUUGAAAGUUGAAUUCUAAUAAUUGGCUAUGAUAGUUUUUUGCAGGUCAUUUUUAAAUGGCCAACGCUGGAAAUGUUUUCCUUAAUUUGGAAAUAAUUGAGAAGGGAGCAUGAAGGUGAAGGUUUCAAUCCAACCAUACAACCAUACAUAUUCAAACUACUAGAGUAAUACAAACUUUCUAGUCUCUUUCUUUUAGAAGUUCCUGAUGAUAUGGCAAGGAGGAUGAUAAGAGUUUGUAAAGCAAUGGCGGUAAUAUUGCCCUUCAUGCUGUAUAUGAUGAAGCUCCUACAUUUGAGAAUGAAACGCUCGGUUGAUAUGUCUAAUCAUUUAUUGGGAUAGUUUUUAGAUUUAUGGAUGUACAUGAAAGCUUUCCUUUCAGGGGGCACAUCCCCCCGAUUCAUGACCACUACAGAUAUUUUGGUAAAAAAAGAUGAUAGUACUCAGAUAUCCUAGAAGUUGUUAUCAGGAGCAUCAAAAUCGCAACCUUUCAUUAAACAUGCAAACACUUUCAAGCAAAUCUCCCAGUUCUCAUAGAAAAUUUGCAGAGAAGGACCGAGGGAGGCUCAACAUGGCAUACCUUGGCCUCUGAUGCUGGAUUCUGCAGGUGCUGAUGUUCCUCCUUUGACUUGUUAUAUCUCUCAGUUACUGCUUUGAUGCUGAUCAAAAUACAUGGUAUCAGUUGACUUUUCACUAUAAAUACUGAUAUAAAAAUAGAGCAAUCAUGAGAAACCA